GACCGAGCAACGCCGCGUGAGUNAAGAAGGUUUUCGGAUCGUAAAACUCUGUUGGUAGAGAAGAACGUUGGUGAGAGUGGAAAGCUCAUCAAGNGACGGNAACUACCCAGAAAGGGACGGCUAACUACGUGCCAGCAGCCGCGGNAAUACGUAGGUCCCGAGCGUUGUCCGGAUUUAUUGGGCGUAAAGCGAGCGCAGGUGGUUUAUUANGUCUGGUGUAAAAGGCAGUGGCUCAACCAUUGUAUGCAUUGGAAACUGGUAGACUUGAGUGCAGGAGAGGAGAGUGGAAUUCCAUGUGUAGCGGUGAAAUGCGUAGAUAUAUGGAGGAACACCGGUGGCGAAAGCGGCUCUCUGGCCUGUAACUNACACUNNGGCUCGAAAGCGUGGGGAGCAAACAGGAUUAGAUACCCUGGUAGUCCACGCCGUAAACGAUGNGUGCUAGAUGUAGGGAGCUAUAAGUU
rnacentral:rRNA from 1 species